AAUUAACACACAAUAUAGGGGUUGAUAGUAGAGGGGUGAAAAUUAAGGGCUGUAUGUAUGUAUGUUGUAUCAUAAAUAAAUGAAAAUAAUUUUUUGCUAAAAAAAAGUCAUAAGAAUCGGUCAAGCCGUUUGGAAGGAGUAUGGGAAUGAACAUUGUGACAACAAUUUUAUAUAUAUAGAUAUUAAAUUUACGGAAAUUGUAUUAAAUUAAUAUAAAUGGUUUUUCAAAAGAAACUGACAUAAAAAAAAUAACAAUUUCAAAGAAAUUGGCUAUUCAAUUUUGCUUUUCAAAUAUUUUACACAUAAAACUGCAAAAAUAAUUGAACUGUGCAUAUAAAAUGCUGUAUUAUUUAUUUUUAAUGUUCUUAUUUUUUGCUGCAUUACCAUGCCAAGUGUCAAUGCAUCGAACAGUGUUGCCACAUUUCAGAUUCAUCAACUACCCACCUUUAUUGUAUGUUACAUCUAGAGGUCAUAAAGCAAGAACAAGAACUAUAAGGCGAUUUUUAAAGUUAUAAUAAACCAAAUUAUAAAUUACAAAUACAUAUUAAUAACAGCCAUGCAAGCAUGGAUCUUUUGGAUAGAAGUAUUAUAAAACAUAAGUAAUAAACAACAAUACAACUUUUUGUGAAAAAUAUAUUAACCCCAUGUCACAAUGUUAAUAUUAUCAAAAUCAGACAUUUUUAACCUCUUUAUACUUGGUGGCAAAUCACUGUAAUUGUCAAAAAUAGGGUUAUAUGCCCAUGGCAAAAUAUGUGUGUAUCCAUUAGAAUCAUAAAUUACACUUUCAUUUUCCUUUGUGGUAAGUUGUGUGGUAUUGUCAACUAUAAAUUUUUCAUAUAUAUCCCCAAAUGAUACUGGUUUUUUUGUUUGUAAUUUAUUCUUUUCAGCAACUGCAAUAAAUAGACAAAUAAAAUGUAA